ACCUUAUGUCAGAUCCCUGUGGACAAGCUGCUACCAGGUUAGUGAUCAGUCUUCUGUCAAUUUCAUCCUGAUCAUGCUGCACUCAGAUAUUUUUGAAGCCUUUAUGAUGUGAGAAAGGCUGACUGCUAUUUUCUGUGUCAUUAGAACUUUCUACCCUUUCAUGGUUGCAUCUUUUUCUCAGUGUGUCAGUUGUGGUAGGUAUGAAUAAGACUCUGUCAGGUCUCCAUGGCAGCUUGUGUUUCUCAAGAGGAUUACUGAGUUCUUGGUGGAGCCCAUUAAUGAAUAGGGCCGAGAAAGUAUAGGCUUAUGUAUGUUGAAAAAAUUCCCUAGGUAAUUCCAGCACUCCCAGCUAAUAAUUGAUUUAUUAAUAAUCGAUUGACUUGAUUGACAGAAGGCCCAGAUCAGUGCAUUCCAAAUUGACAACCUACUUUGCAUAGAGUCCUCACUUUCCUGAAGCUCCCAGCAGGGAUAUGAAAGCAAGCCCAGUUCUAUGAGCCUCUGUUUCAUUCUCCUGGGUGACUGGUGGGGAGACUCCCCAUCAGUCUUGCCAUGAUCUCUUUGAACUGUAGCUAAAUCUUCUUUCUCUUUCUCCUUCACAGGAAUCAGAUUUGAUAGUGGUCCCAAAGCUUCCCAGACUUUUUUCAUGCCUGCCCCACUUUCCCUCACAGGCAUUUUUCCUAAUAAAUUAUCCUGCAUGUCUAAUCUCAUCUUGGAUGCAUCUCAGUGGGCAUAAACUAACAUACCAGGCUUGAUUUUUUUGCACUUAGCUUUUUUCUGUCUCUCCCACAUGUAGCCAGUAACCAUGUCCUAGUGUUUAUGUGUUACCUCUUUUUUCAUGUGUAUAGGAAAAAUAUAUAUAUUUCCAUAUACCUAUUUAUACAUAUUAUAUAAUAAAAUAUGUAAUAUAAAAUGUAUAGUAAUGAAAAACAUAUACAUAUUUUCCAUAUACGUAUAUGGAAAAUGAGGUAACAUAAAACAUCAGGACACUUACAUAUAAUAAAAUUGACAUAUGUUAUAUAUGUAUGUAGUGUCUGCUAGUCUUACCCUCUCUAUAAAUACACACUUUUUGUCACUGCCCCUUCCUUCCCAUGCAGAGCUCCCAUGGCCAAAUCUCCCUAUUUCCCCAAGUGUGUGUCACUCGCUGUCCUCUGUUCUGUGUCCCAUGCGCUGUGCCCACAGCCUCCUAGUGUUUUAUGUGUUCUCUUUUUCUAUAUAUAUAUGGAAAAAGCAUAUACAUACUUCUCUCUUUAUAUUUAUAUACAAUAUAUAAUAAUCUAAAAAUAUAGAGUAUAUAACAAUUUAAAAUAUAUACAUAUUUCCAUAUCUAUGAAAAAAGGUAACACAUAAACACUAGGCCAUUUAUACAUAAAAUUCACAUAUGUAAUAUAAAUGCCAAUUUUAUCAUAUACAAAUAAGUAUAUCCAUAUAGACUUAUCAUAUAUAAGGUGAAUUUGGAAUGCCCUGACCUGGGCCCUCUGUCAGUCAAGUCCUUGCCAUGGAGGCCAUUCAUGGCUGCCACAACUGAGACACCAAGAGAAAGAUGCAACUAUGAAAAGGUGAAAAGUUCUAAAGUCAUAGAAAAUAGCAAUCAGCCUUUCUCAUAUCCCAAAACCUUCAAAAAUAUCUGAGUGCAGCAUGUCCAAGAUGGAAUUAAAAACUUCGAUCUUGAAAAGGAAAAAGGAAGCUGGAGGACUCACACUUUCAGAUUUCAGCAUCUACUGCAAAGCUACAGUAAUCAAUACAGUGUGGUACUGGCAUAAAAAAGGACAUAGAAACCAAUGCCAUAGAAUAGAGAACCCAGAAAAAAAGCUUGCAUAUAUGGCCAAAUGAUUUUUGUCAAGAGUGCCAAGACCAUUCCAUGGGGAAAGGACAGUCUUUUUAACAAGUGAUACUGGGAAAGCUGGCUAUCCAUGGACAAGUAUGAGUUGAACAUUUACCUCACACCAUAUCCAAAAAAAUGAACCCACAAUGGAUCAAAGACCUAAAUGGAAGAGUGAAGACUACCAGACUCUUAGAAGAAAACAUAAGGAAAAAGCUUCAUGAUAUUGAAUUUCAGAAUGAUUUAUUAGUUACAACUACAAAAGCAUAGGCAACAAAAAAGGGAUAAAUUGGACUUCAUGAAAAUUAAAAACUUUUAUAUAUCAAAGGCCAUUAUCAAGAAUGUAUAAAGGCAAACUAUGACAUAGGGAAAGUUUCUGCAAAUCAUAUAUCUGAUAAGGGAUUAAUUUCCAGAAUACAUGAAGAACACUACAAAUCAAAAACAGCAAAAACAGAAAAGCCCAAUUAAAAAAUGGACAAAGGACUAAAAGAGAGAUGUUAUUAAAGAAGAUAUACAAAUGGCCAAUGAGGGCAUGCAAGGAUUCUCAAUAUUACUAAUAUUUAGAGAUCUGCAAAGCAAAACCAUGGUGAUACACGACCUCACACACAUUAGGAUGGCUUUGAUAAAAACAACAUGAACAACAACAUCACAAAACAAGUGUUUUCAAGUACGUGGAAAAAUUGAAGCUCUUUGUGUAUUGCUGAUGGGAAUGGGAAAUGUUAUAGCCACUGUGGAAAAAAAUGGCAUGACAUGGCCGGCUCAUGCCUGUAAUCCCAGCACUUUGGGAGGCUGAGAUGGGUGGAUCUCUUGAGGUCAGGGGUUUGAGACCAGCCCGGCAAGCAUGGUGAAACCCCAUCUCUACUAAAAAUACAAAAAUUAGCUGGGUAUGGUGGCAUGUGCCUGUAAUCCCAGCUACUCAGGAGGCUGAGGCAUGAGAAUUGCUUGAACCUGGGAGGUGGAGGUUGCAGUGAGCCAAGAUUGAGCCAUUGCACUCCAGUGUGGGUGACAGAGCAAGACCCUGUCUCAACAUCAACAACAACAGAAAAGAAAAUGGUAUGUCAGUUUCUUUAAAAAAAAUUAAAGCAUUACCACUUGAACCAGCAAUUCUACUUCCGGACAUACAGCCAAAAGUAUUGAAAAAUAUUUGAACAGAUAUUCGUACACUGAUGUUCACAGCAGCAUCACUCACAAUAGCCAAUGGGUGGAAACAACCGAAAAGUCUAUUGAAAGAUAAGUGGGUGAACAAAAAGGUAUAUCCAUGCUUUGGAAUGUUCUUCAAUCUUAGCAAGGGAUAAAAUUCUGACACAUGGUGCAAAAUGGAUGAACCGUGAAGACAUUAUGCAAAGUGAAAUAAGCCAGACACAAAAGCAUAAUUAUUAUAUACUUCCAUUUAUGUAAGAUAGUUAGAAUAGUCAAUUACAUAGAGACAGAAAUUAGAAUGGUGAUUACCAGGGGUUAAGGGGAGAAGGAAUGAGAGUUAUCAUUUAUCGGGUUCAGAGGUUUAGUAUAGUAGGAUAAAAAAAGCACUGGAAAUAGAUAGUGUUGAUAGUAACACAACAGUAAAUUGCACACUUAGAAACAGUUAAUGGUAAGUCUUACGUAUAUAGUGUCUGGUACUCUUACCCUCUCUAUAAAUACACACUUUUUGUCACUGUUCCUUCCCUGCCAUAGGGAGCUUCUGUGAGUUAAUCUCCCUAUUUCUCCAAGUGUGCAUCACUCACUGUCCUCUGUGCUGUGUUCCAGGAGCUGUGUCCACAAACUCACACAGGCAGUGACUUCAGAGCCAGGACACAGUCCUAUUCCCAUUUUUUAAAGCCUUACCCAUGGGAGGCUUAGCUUCUACUGGCAGCUCGAUUUAGCCAGAUUCAGAACCGGCCACCCAGGCACCUUAUCCACAUGCCUGCCCCACCCCCCGGCUGGAGUCAGGGCAGGGUCGGUCACUGAGCGAGCCCACAGCAAUGCAGGGAGCAGAGUCUGAGCUGCUUCUGCUUCACCCAAGGGGCUUCCUCCUGUCAUUUGGGGAAAAGUGUGGGCUUGUUUUGAAGCCUCUGAUGUUCAUCGCAGCUCAUGGAGUACACACACACAGACACACACACAAAGGAGACAGAAGGGAUGUUUUGGUGACAGAAACAGCUUGACCAUGAGGACCCUCCUCUUUCUCCGUCUGUGAAGGCCCUUAUACUGCAUAGUGCUUGGGGCUGAUAAAGCCAUUUCCCUACAUUUCUCAGGCUGGACCCAAGGUCAUCCACCAGAAAUCUGGAAAACAAAGGGAAGAGAAUCUGUAGAUAUGAAUUGGGAGUGUUCAGGAGAAAAAUUUGGGAUUUACUUUUGUGCAUGGGACACAGGCUGAGAAUAAAAAUGUUUUCCUGGCUCUUUCUUGGAAAGCCAGAUAGGCUUCACCUGAAAGCAUAUUGCCAAUGCUCCAGCGAUCCACUUACCAGGGACUGUGAUUUUCUUGGUUGCGAAGUUUUUGCCAUUAGUGACUGGGUUAUGGACAUAACACAGAUAGUCCCCACUAUUCUCUGUAGUGACUUGGGGGAUAAAGAGCUCUUGUCCUGUUUGCUGGUUAUUCCCAUUCAGCAGCCAAGAAUACUCUGCUGAUGGGUUAGAGCCCAUGAGGCAGGAGAGGUUGAGGUUUGACCCUGCAUAGUAAUAGGUGUCUGAAGAAUAAGUUGUGGGUUCAUCUGGGCCAUCUGGAGCAAAGAGAAUAAAGCCACAGGUAAUGUUAUCAGAGGGAAUGGGAAGCUCCUGGUCUGUGAAAGGGACACAAUGUUCCUUUUUGCCAAGUCACAACCCUGAAGUCCCAGCCAAAUUUCUUCUGUGUUCACUGAACUGGAGGAGUCUAAGACAUUCACGUGUUCUCCCAUCGCAAGCUAUGGAACCAGAGUCCCCUAAGACCGGAGAAGCCCCUCCCUUCCUGGGCCUACCCAGGUUUGCCUGGGACAGAAAGUCAUGGCCAGCUUGGGGGUCCAGGGGUAAGUGUCUUCAUACUUGGACCUGAGAGGGACUGAGAGGCCUGGCCUCGUGUUAUGUGGAUUUGGGCUGGCAGCCUUGUCCAUGAAGGAAAAGAGGAUACUCACAGAGAACAUCCAGGUGACUGGGUCACUGUGGCUGGUACUCACUACAUUCUUCCUUUGACAUUCAUAGAGUCCUGUGUCACUCCUUGUGACACUGAGUAGAGCAAGGACCCUGUUAUCAUUGGACAUCUUUAGCCUGGGACUGAGUGUGAGUCUAUGACUAUUUACCCACCACAUGUAGAUUGUGCCAUGAGUCUCAGGUUCACAGGUUAAGACCACAGCCUCCUCAUCCUCCGCGGGGUUGCUGGUGACAUAGGGCUUGGGCAGAUUCACUGUGCAGAUAACAGAGAAGAUUCCCCUGUGUGGCACCAUUGAUUUCUCCACGAGCAUUUUCCAAUCAGAGUUGACAUCUCCCACCUCUCAGCCAAUCCAAGUCCUUAAAAGCCCACAGCAGUUCUGUGUGUCAAAAGACAGAUGGAUGCAUGAUGAUCUGAGGGCUCAGAGACCAUGGGGCCACCUGCUCUGUGUGGGAGAUGCACAGACUUCUGAACUGUGAAUCAAGCAGCAAUACUGGUGAACUGUGAAUUGAGCAGGGUCAUAUAAUUAGAGUUUGAUUAACUUUGUUUAAAUUGGGCAGAGUCUAAGUGAGGCAGCAGUGGCUCAUGCAUCUCCCCACCCGAAGGACCCCACCUUAUGACACUGUUGUUAUUAUGAGUACACAGGUGUGCAUGAAACAGGCAGUAAAUCAAACAGCACCCACCUGGCCAGCUCCACCUGGUCCUAGGAACCACCAGUAUUCCCAUUAUGUGUAUGUUACAGCCUUUGUAGGCUACAAAAUAUAAAAUACAACUUCAGAAUAUAAAAUAUGCUAUUGUCAAUACCAAAUAUUGAAUAUGAAGCUGAAUAUGUUGUUCCACUUUUUCUCACUCUUGUUAAACUUUGCUGUUUCAGUUUUGGAAGUUCCUAUUGACACACACUUAAGCUAGAGAUUCUUUCCUCAGCUGUGGGCAGCCUACCAGUAAGCCCAUGCAGGGCAUUCUUUAUUUCGCUUAAAGUGUUUUUAAUCUCUAGCAUUUCUUUUGCUUCUUUCUUAGAAUAGCCAUCUCUCUGUUUAAAUCACCCAUCUAUUCCUGAAAGGUGUCUCCUUUUUCCAUCAUAAUCCUUAACCAGAGUUGUUUUAAAUUUUCAGUCUGAUAAUUUCAACAUCCCUACCACAUCUGUGUCUGGUUCUGAUCCUUGCUCUGUUUUUCAAACUGCAUUAUUUUUUUUUUUUUUUUUGCCAUAGUCUGUCUUGUAUUUUUUUGAAAACCACACAUGAUGUACUGGGUAAAAGGGACUUGAGUGAGCAGGCAUUCAGUGACAUGGUGGUGAGUGAGGGGAGGGAAGGGUUCUGUGGUUCUGGAUGAGAUCUGUGUCCUGGGCUGUGAAUGUCACAAGUGCCUCUCAGGUUUUUCUUUCCAUUAGGUGGGAUAUGAUGACUUGAGGAGGCUGGAGUUGGAUAUUUCCCCUCCCCCUGGCCAGUUAAGCUCCCAUCAAACCCCAGCUAAUUAGGCUGCAGUAAAAUAGUUCCUCUUAAAUGUAGGUCUUACCAAGAAGAAUAUAAUUCACUGACAACUUUCCAAGUGUUUUUUUCCCUUCUCUCCUACAAGAAGGAUGCAGGGAUUCUUUUUGGAUAUUGACUGUGAGAACCUGGUAGAGCUCCAGGAGCUAAGAGUCAUAAAACUGUCCCCCUACUCCCAAGGCUAAUUCAUCCACUGGUGUGUUUAUCUCUGCGCUGUGUCCACACUGAGCCUCCAGAAUUUCCUCAAUUAGAGUUGAGGUUUUCUGACCCCAGCACUGGUUCCCGCUGA
rnacentral:lncRNA from 1 species